UACGUAGGGUGCAAGCGUUGUCCGGAAUUAUUGGGCGUAAAGAGCUCGUAGGCGGUCUGUCGCGUCUGCUGUGAAAACUCAGGGCUUAACCCUGAGCUGGCAGUGGGUACGGGCAGACUAGAGUGCGGUAGGGGAGACUGGAAUUCCUGGUGUAGCGGUGAAAUGCGCAGAUAUCAGGAGGAACACCGGUGGCGAAGGCGGGUCUCUGGGCCGUAACUGACGCUGAGGAGCGAAAGCAUGGGGAGCGAACAGG
rnacentral:rRNA from 1 species